AGUCCGUGAUGUGGGCAUUGCUGCAGUAGUCCUUUAAAUUGGUCCCAAGCUUCGAAAAGAGAUUCUCCAUCUUUUUGGGUAAAAUUUGUGAUUUGGUGACGGAGUGA